CUUGUUCAAUCCUUCUAGCAGAAUGGUGUCCAGUGCUUCGCUUGCUCACAGUGCAUUUCUGAGGUUUUCAACUUCCCUUCAUGGGGAAGUAUCAUCAUCCUCAUCAAGCUGUAUGGGAACUUCUCUCAACUUCUCACGCUCUUCUUUCUCUGGAAACCAGUCACCUUCUAAAAGGCAGCUUGCGAUUUUCUCCAAGAGGCUGUCGGGAUUGCAGGAGGCAAUGAGAAUCAAAAGAGAACGUGAACUCGGUGUUACAAAGCCUAGAAGAAGGCCUCCACUAAGGCGUGGAAAAUUAUCACCACGUUUGUCUGUCCCUGAUCACAUUCCAAGGCCUCCUUAUGUAGGUUCGGAUAUACUGCCUGAAAUCUCCAGUGAGUAUCAAAUUCAUGAUUCUGAAGGCAUUGCUUGCAUGAGGGCUGCAUGUGAGCUUGCCGCUCGUGUCCUAAACCAUGCAGGAACUCUCGUUAGGCCUUCUGUGACCACAGAUGAAAUUGAUAAAGCAGUCCAUCAGAUGAUAAUAGAUGCCGGUGCUUAUCCCUCACCUCUUGGCUAUGGUGGAUUUCCAAAAAGUGUGUGUACGUCAGUUAAUGAGUGCAUGUGCCAUGGAAUUCCUGAUUCUCGGCAGCUACAGAAUGGUGACAUUAUUAACAUAGAUGUGACAGUCUACCUGAAUGGAUAUCAUGGAGACACAUCAAAGACAUUUUUUUGUGGGGAAGUCAGUGAAGCAAUGAAAAGCCUUGUUAAGGUAACUGAAGAGUGCCUGGAGAUGGGAAUAGCUGUUUGCAAGGAUGGUGCAAGUUUUAAUCAAAUUGGAAAGAGAAUCAGCGAACAUGCUGAAAAGUAUGGCUUUGGUGUAGUGGAACGUUUUGUUGGGCAUGGUGUGGGAGCAGUGUUUCAUUCGGAGCCAAUAAUCCUACAUCACCGUAAUGACAAUCCUGGUGUCAUGGUAGAAGGUCAAACAUUUACAAUCGAACCCAUUCUUACAAUGGGAAGCACCGAGUGCAUUUCAUGGCCAGACAACUGGACAGCCGUAACAAAAGACGGAAGUCCCGCUGCACAGUUUGAGCAUACCAUUUUGAUAACUCGCACCGGAGCUGAAAUUUUGACAACAUGUUGAUCAGGUGAAAUGCCCCUUGAGAACCUCAAGGUCACUAUCCCUACAGAAUCCCAAUGUUGAGGGCACUCACAGUGGAGAUGUGACAUGGAGAUAGAGAGAUUCAAUGGUGCAAGGACAACUGUAGAGUUUCUGCUACACACCAAGUCAAAGCUAUUAGCAUAAAGCAUUAAAGCUUUCAGUUGGACCUGCCUCAAAAAAAUUGUGGAAUUGUAAAACAAUGCAGGCAUGAACUAUGUAUAGGGAUUGUCUAAUUUCGUAUUUGGAGGUCCUUGGAAGUCUUCUUAAGAUGAGAAUUUUAAAAGAUUUCUGGAUAUAGGCCACAGGAACAGUAGACGAAGCUGAGCAGGAUGUGCUUUUUCCAGUAACGUUAAUCUCAGUUCGUUGACGAAAAUGAAUUUUCGAACCAGUGCACAACUCAAUCAUAAUUAUAGCAUAUUGUUGACGAAUGUUAAUCCCUGGACCCUCUCAAAAGAAAAUGUACAUGGAUGCAUGGAGUAGAUAUAGAUAGGUUUUCUGAAA